rnacentral:lncRNA from 10 species
GAGGCCCGCUCCCGCCCCUUCGCCCCCUGGACGCCUCCGUGGGAACCCCCGGCCGGCCUGCGCGCCCCUCCUCCGGGGGUCUCCCCGCCUUCUUCCCGCCACCAUCCAAUCAAAUCGGGCGAGGGGCGCGAAGCCCGGGAGACGCGUAGGCCGCGGCCCCCAGGCCCGGUGUUUUGACGUCGGCGGUGCCCGCGUUCCGCGCCGAGUAACGGUCUUCGGAAUUCAGAGCCUUCGCCUUAGGGAAGGUGGGACGGUCGCCAGUUUCUCCAGCACUUUCUUCGUCCAGGGACGUCAACCUCCCUUGCAUGCUGUCCUCAGGGACUGACAGCGGGGCCUGCUCAGAAGUUCUCGUCGGGACUCUCUACAGGCCUUUGUGAUUAAGUGCUAGGGGUGAGGAGAGACGUGGCUUAUUUAUGUGUUUUUCAGUUUGUUAUGAUUUUUUUUUUUUUAAUUUUACUUCUCCCUGCCCUAGAAUUGAGCUCCUUGAGAGUAAAAACCCGCCUGGGUCGCCAUCACCCUAGGCUUGGUGCAGGGCCUGCCAGGCGCUCGAAUUUGUUGAAGAGGUGGGUGUUCAGUAUCGAAAGAGCCGCGGAUUGUACAUUAGAAAGCCUGGCUUUGCGCCGCGUCCUUGCCACUUGCUGACCAGGCCCCUCCACGUGGUCCCCGCCGGGGCAGCAGCUCUCCUCACCCGUCCAAAGGCACGGGGAGGCGCGUGGCGGCCCCGCCAGAGCUGAGCCCCCUGGGAUGUGAGGCCGUCUCGCUCUGAGCUUCAGAGCAGGGUUGCAGGAGACACCUCAGAAGGUCGUUUUGAGGACGGGAGGAGAUGAACUGCUCAAAGCCUGCUUAACUAGAUAAAUGGUAUCGAUUAACUUUUCUUUGACUCCCUUUCCACACCUAUAAAAUGAAGAUGACGGGAAACUUGUCAUACUUUUUUUGUGGUGGGUGGGAAAGGUCUUUAUGAACUGUGAAGUCCUAUGCAAACGUGAGAUGUUUCCUUUCGCAAUCUGAUUAGCGAAGCAAAAACACGCGAGUCAAAAACAUACACAGAAAGCAAAAAAAAAAAAUUCACAAAAUGGUUUAUCAACUGCAGAAUAUUCAGGAUGGUGGAACUGAAUGGUAACUACUGACAACAUAGCUCAGAAAGGACGUGCUAAAACAUGCUGGAUGAAGCUAACUUUGAUCCAGGUCUUAAAUGGAAUGGACUAUAGUUUAUAGCUUCAACCUAAUCAUUAACUUAUGAAAUCAGAGAAUUAAGGCCACUUAAGCCACUGUGCUCAGACUGUCAAGAUAUUUAGUUUCUCAAAGCAGAAAGAGGAAAUUAAAUACUCUUGUCAAUUCAACAUAUGGGUUGGAUGAUUAGCAGGAUCCGUGGAUUGUUGUUUAUCCAGUAUGUGAAGAAACGGAUAUCCUCUGUUUUCUCGUUAUUACACAAACUUCUAUCCUUAAUAUGUGACCUUUCAAGGUUGAACUCUAGGUAAAAUUAUGAAGUGCACAAUUACGUCUUGUUUCUUCUUCCCUUUGCACGUCGUUUUACAAGAGAAUCUAAUUAUUAUUAAAGUACAAAUGACUGACAAGAUUGUAGCCACUCCUGGGAGAUUUUGCAUUUUUACGGUUAUUAAAAGCCAUAACUCAAAGCAGCAGUUGAAUCUGUUUCAUAAACUAACUAAGAUUUAAAAGAGCUCCUUUGGGAGGUCAUGAGUUCAUCAGAAACUUCUGGUGUAGGAGUUCAGCCUAUAAAACAAACAAAUACAUGACUUGUAGUAUUUCUUCGUUUUAUAGUCUGAACUCCUCUAAGUUCUUGAUUCCCAUUCUGUGACCUCCCUUUCUUAGAUUGUUAAAAUAAAAUACAGAUGACUCACGCCUUUAAUCCCAGCACCUCGGGAGGCUGAGUCGGGAAGAUCACUUGAGCCUAGGAGUUUAAGACCAGCAAGGGCAACAUGGGGAGAUCCCAUCUCUUAAAAAAAUAAUAAUAAUAAUUGAGCAUGGUGGCACCCUCCUGUAGUCCCAGCUAUUUGGGAUACUGAAGCAGGAGGAUUGCUAGAGCCUGGGAGGUCAAAGCUGCACUGAGCCGUGGUCACACCACUGCAUUCCAGCCUGGACAACAGAGUGAGACCCUGUUUCAAGAAAAAUAAAAUGAAACAUUUAUUUCUGGAUGUUAUUUUGAAAGAUUUUGUCAUGUCUUAAUGAGCCCUGGCCACGUAAUCACAGCAUUUUGGGAGGCCAAGGUGGGAGGAUUGCUUAAAGCCAGGAGUUUGAGACUAGCCGGGUCAAUAUAGUGAGACCCUGUUUCUACAAAAAAUAAAUAAAUAAAUAGCCAGGUGUGGUGGCACGCACCUGUAGUCCUAGCUACUUGGGAAGUUGAGGCAGGAAGGUCACUUGAGCCAGGAUUUCAAGGCUGCAGUGAGCUAUGAUUGUGCCUCUGCUCUCCAGCCUGGGUGACAAAGUGAGACCCUCUCUCUUAAAAUAACAAUAAUGAUGAAUUCUUAGUGCCUUCAGGCAAUAAAAUUCUUUUAACAAAAUUCUUAAUACACAUAUCAAUUACCCAGCCUCUUAAGUGACUGAGUUUUCUUCUAGUUGGGUACACACACAGUCUUUUUGCCUUAUUGAAAAACUUAGAAAUUAGAUGUGGCAUUGCUUAACAUGGUGGGGUGGUUCAAAGAGGACCAGAAAGAAGGCAGAAACCAGUAAUGUUAAAGCAAGAAAUUAUUUCUAGGCUGAUAGUACGCUGAAGUUUAAAAAGCUCCAGCCCAACCUUCUACCCAACAUGUGAGUCUGUCUCCUGUUAUGUGCACAAUCAUAGUUUUCAUCAUUAUCAAACACUCUUCCCAGGGUUUCAGUAUGGACUCAUUUAAGUAAGAAGCCUACUUGUUGCAAGGUGCGCACGUUUUUCCUGUUUCACCAUGUUUUCAUGAGUGUAAUGCAUUAUCCUUGCAUUAAAUUAACAGCUUUAUAAAAGUUAGUUACCCCCCAGUGUAAAUCAUUAUGCUUUCUAUCCUCACUUUCUUCACUGCUCUUUGCCAUUCCUGGCACAAUCACCUGUGCUAUUGGUUUUCCUUUGCCUGCACCAAUAUCCUUAAUUUUUCCUAUGAUACGGCAGAUUUAUUUGACACAGCUCCUAACCUCGAUCAUCUGAUUUCUCUCAAUCCAAUGAAGCAAGCACAUUAUAUUCUAAUAUAGGAAAUCCUAUAUUCAUAUGAGGAAACCGAGGCAUAGAGAAGUUGGAUAAUUUACCCUGGGUCCCACAGGCUAGUGAAGAGCAGGCUUUAGAAUCAAACCCAAUUUUGUCUGACUCUAGAGCCCAAGUUCUUAAUCACUAUAUUCCGAGAAAGAGAAAAGCAGUUUCUGACAUGCAGUAGAUGCUGGCACACUAGGCUUUGGUAUUCUUGUUGAACAAAAAUAAUUUUAGAGAACAUCAACAUCAGACGAGGCCACUCCAUGAUCAUGGUGGAUCAGGACAAAAAUAAGACUACUUCAUAAUCGUGUGUGAAUGUAGACAAAAACACAAAUGCUGUCCAACCCACCAAAUGAAAUACACAAAAUGAAAAUACCAAACUAGUCUACGUAGCUGUUGCCUCUUUGCCAAUGACAGCUUAAGCCUCAUUCCAGUCUUCCCUCUUUCUAGAUAAGAUUUAUUAAGAUACCCAAUCAUAGAAUUACCCCCACUUCCUGACAAUAUCCUGUUUAGAGCAUAGAGCAAAGUUCCACCACCUUAAACCCUCUAUCAGAUCACCUAACACAAACCCAAUCUUACUAAAAGAUUUUUUUGAACACCUUACCAGUAUGCCACGUGGUUCCCCGUGAUGUGUUCUUCCUUGCUGCAAUGAGUAGUAAAUUCGGCUUGUUCAACCACAGGUGUGUUCCUGGUGAUCUUUGACUAGAAAGCAUUGACAGUUCUUUCUGGACUAUUCUAUAUCAUGCAUUUCUAUGGAGUAGAAAGCAUACUUAUUAGGUAUUUCUGCCAGUCAAAGGACUGGAAACUGCCCUUUCAUCUCCAGCCAUAGGAUUGUCACACCAAAGCUAGAAGGUUCCCUUUCUUUUUGUGGAUCAUAUAUAGAGUGUCUGCUAAAUUGAGCCUUAUUAAAAGAUAGUGAAAAGAAGCACAUGUUGGAAUAAUUGGACAUCAUUUUUAAAACAAAAGCUUAACACCUAUAAACUCAUGCCUUUCACCAUAUGCAAAAUAAUUCAAAAUGGAUCAUAGACCUAAAUGUGAAAAUAUAAAACUUUUAGAAGAAAACAUAGGAGAACAUUUUUAUGAUCUUGAAUUAGGCAGAGUUUUCUUAGGUACAACAAAAAACACAAUCCAUGAAAGAAAGAAAUUUAUAAAAACUUGCUGUUUGGAUAACACUUGCUCUUUGGAUGUCACUUAAGAAAACAAAAGAACAAGCAACAGACUGGGAGAAAAUAUUUGCAAAACAUACCUUUUUUUUUUUUUUCUUUGAGACGGAGUCUCGCACUGUCACCCAGGCUGAAGUGCAGUGCACAAUCUCGGCUCACUGCAAGCUCUGCCUCCUGGAUUCACGCCAUUCUCCUACCUUAGCCUCCCGAAUAGCUGGGACUGCAGGCGCCUGCCACCAUGCCCAGCUAAUUUUCGUUUGUUUGUUUGUUUGUUUGUUUUUUAGUAGAGACGGGGUUUCACUAUGUUAGCCAGGAUGGUCUCCAUCUCCCGACCUCAUGAUCCGCCUGCCUCAGCCUCCUAAAGUGCUGGGAUUACAAGCGUGAGCCACCGCUCCCAGCCAAAACAUACCUAUUAAGUGACUGUAUUCUGAAUAUGUGAAACAAUCUUACAACUCAGAAGACAAUCCAGUUUUAAAAUGUGUGAAUAAUUGAACAAUCACUUUACCAAAGGAGAUACAUGGAUGGCAAAUAAGCAUAUGAAAAGAUGCGCAACCCCUCCCACCCCGAGGCAACCUCUCAUCUGUUUUCUCUCCUUAUGGUUUUGCCUUUUCCAGAAUGUCAUAUAAAUGGAAUACAGUAUGAAGCAUUUUUAGUCUUGCAUCUUUCACUUAGAAUAAUGGAUUUGAGAUGUAUUUAUGUUGUGUGUAGGAGUAGUUUGUUCCUUUUGUUGCUGUAGUCUAUUUACUAUAGUAGUCAUUAGGGAAAUGCAAAUCAAAGCCACAGUGAUCACUACUUGGUUGAAAUAAAAAUAAUUUCAAAAGCUAUUGAUGAUGGACAGAAACUAAAACUCUCAGAUGUUGUUGGUGGGAAUGCAGAGGGGUACAUACACUUGGGAAAUGGUUUGGGAGUUUCCUAUAAAGUUAUGCAUACACUUGUGAUAUGACCUAGAAAUCCUACUCCUAGAUAUUUACCCAAGAGAAAUGAAAACAUGUUCACACAAAAACCUGAACAUAUUUUAUAAUCAUCUAAAACUAGAAACACCCUAAAUGCCCUUUAAUUUGUGAAUGGAUAAGCAAACCGUGGUACAUAUAUACAAUAGAAUCUACUCAGCAUAUAAAAGGAACAAACUGCUCCUACACACAAAUAAAUCUCAAGUGCAUUAUUCUAAGUGAGAGAUGCAAGAUUAAAAAGUCUUCAUACUGUAUUCCAUUUAUAUGACAUUCUGGAAAAGGCAAAACCAUAAAAAGAGAAAAGAGAUCAGUGGUUGCCUGUGAGGUGAGAGGAGUUGACUAUAAAGUGGAGCUUAAGAGAAUUGGGGAGGGGUAAUGGAACUGUUGGAUAUCUUGACUGUGAUGUGUGUGGGUUACAGAAUGUAUGCAUCUGCCAAAACUCAUAGAUUUGUACACUAAAUAGAGCAGUUUUGCUGUGUGUAAAUUAUACCUUAAUAAUUUUGACUUGAAAAAGAAAGAUGUUGGAAUGGGAAAAAAGAGUUGUGAUGAGGUAGAGCUACCUGACACCAUGAAUAUGAAGACUGGCCCAAAGGUGAGCAGCCUCUUAUACUCCUAAUGGGCAGCACUUCACAGUAGUUUCAGUAAUACAACCUGAGUUUAAAGAUGUUCAAUUUGUUCUUAUGUUUUUGCCUAAUUGCUUACCAUACUUGACCACUGUUGGCUAGUUUCUUCUCUCAAGUGCCCUUACCUCUACAGUAACCAGUAGAGCAACUUCAGUACCCAGUUUGAGUCUGGUUUCUACCCUUGGUUCUAUCCUUGAUACAGUUUGGCUGUAUCCCCACCCAAAUCUCAUCUUGAAUUGUAGUUCCCAUAAUCUCUAUGUGUUGUGGGAGGGACCUGGUGGGAGGUAAUUGAAUCAUGGGGGCUGUUACCCCCAUACUGUUCUUAUGAUAGUGAGUGAGUUCUCAUGAGAUCUGGUGGUUUUAUAAAGGGACUUUUCCUCCUUUGCUCGGCACUUCUCCUUCCUGCCGCCAUGUGAAGAGGGACAUGUGCACAUUAAGCAUUUAAAGAUCGUUAAAGGGUAAUACAAAUAAAGGCCAAAUUGAGUAAAAAAAGAGGACUGAAUGAGUGCAGAAAAGAUAGAUAUGGAUGUGGGCUGAAGAAAGCUUCUGCAGCAGGGAGAGGAGGGAAGUUAUAUUUUAAUAAGAAUUGAAUACCUACUUUUUUAAGGACGUCAGCAUGAUACUUAUAAAUUAUGAGAGCGGAAUCAUUACUAUUUUCUACCUGCAUCCAGUAUAGAUGUUAGGACUAGGGAGAGGACUAAUGAUAAGCUUCCAUUUCACCUUGGAGCAAGGCACCCAAAGUGGUGGCAGAGCCCACACAGCAUAAUUUAUGCCUUAUCGAUGGUAAAAAGUUAAAUGGGGAUUGGUGAAGAUAGACAAGGUGGAGCUUUAAAAAGAUAGAAUAGAGCAGCCCAAAGCUGAACAAUAGGGUCUUUAUUGUCAUCUGCAAUAGCCAGGUUGAAAGAACAUGUACAUUUACCAUGAGAAGGGAGAUUUACCAAGUUGACAUUUUCAACGUGACCCCAGAAUGCAAUAUGGUUUGACUAGGAUUUAUGUGAAUUACAGUAAGAGAGCCUCUCAACUUGGCCUGCUUUUGGAAACAAUGGCCCACCCCAUGGUUUAGGUAAUGCUGUAUGCAUUCUGAGGGAGGUGGUCCGUCAUUUACAGAUGAAGAAAAGGCUGAGGGCAUAAAAACAUCUUAAGUCUUCUGCAACCAGGGUAGAUGGAAUUCUAACUUGAAACACUAAUUUCAGUUUGCAAAUGCAAAUGAGUUCUAAGAGAGGGAGAAACUGUUUUAGGGGACCAUUUGAAAUCUGUCCUUCAUAUUCACAUUGAAUGUAAGGGAAAUAGCCACCAAUCCUCAGAGUGUGAAGGAGCCAACAUUAAUCUCUUCCUAGAUCUAAAACUGCCAAAUUAAAAUUUGUAUCAGUGACUACUUGACCCACUUUCCUUUCUUGCUUUCAGGGCACAUCCUUACAUGAGCCUAAUCACUUAUUUGCCAAGAGAAUAAUUAACGUUUUAGAGUCGCUGUGCUAGUUAAUAGUGUAAGACAAAAAUAAAAUUCUUAGCCCCCUAACCAUCUGAACAAACCCCUCCUCAGCCAAGGGCAUUCCAAAGUUAACCUGAAAAACUAGUUCAGGCCAGGAUGGGAAGUGGUUGUUGGACAUGCCUCACACCUGACCAGCAUUAACAUCAACACAGAGAUUUUCAGACUGACAGAAGAGACUCUUUAAUAAGAAACAUUUACAAUCUAUUACCUCUGAAGCCUGCUUCCUAGAGGCUUUAUCUACAUACUACAACCUGGUCUCCACAACUCCUUAUCAUAACCCAGACAUUCCUUUCUAUCAAUACCAGGUCUUUAGACAAUAAUCAAUUGCCAAUCAGAAAAUCUUUGAAUCUGCCUAUGACCUGGAAGUCCUCUCACCCCCCAUACCUGCUUUCAGUUGUCCCGCCUUUGUGGCUGAAACAAUGUACAUCUUACAUGUAUUGAUUGAUGUCUUAUGUCUCCCUGAAAUGUAUAAAACCAAGUUGUAGCCCAACCACUUUGGGCACAUGUUCUCAGGAUCUCCUGAGGGCUGUGUCAUGGGCCAUUGGUCACUCAUUUGGCUCAGAAUAAAUCUCUUCAAAUAAUUUACAGAGUUUGGCUCUUUCACUUACAAUAAUUUGGCACCUAACAUCAGGCCUCAGAGAAGACUCAGAGCCCUGAAGGAAUUGGCUGAACUUGGAGCUAAGGUACCAGCAGGGGCCCAAUGAUAGUUCUCCCCAACUUUGAGCAUUUCCUCCAGUGGAAUUGUUAGGUCCUUCUGAGCACUGGACCUCCCAUUUGGCUGAUGGUCCUUGAUUUAUUCUUGAGUUUUUUUUUUUUUUCCUCCUAGAAAGUUAUUUGGGAUCCCUGUCUAGUUCGGAGGUGCAUUCUAAAGGUGUUCUCCAUUGCCUUUUUCUAAAGACAAGGAGAAGGACCCCUUUUUGGGCACCUCAUUUGGUUUCCGGUUUGGAGGUGCAUUCUAAGAAGUCUUCUCCGUUGCUUUUUCUUCCAAAAUUAAGCUCAAUUGGUUUGUCUGUGCAUUUGUGUGAGGAACUGAACUGUUAUUUUCAUAGAUAAAUGAGACUGAGGUCCUCAGCUCUGAAGAAAAAGGGCAUUUUGUUCCUCCCAGCUGAAAGGUGCUCCUGGGUGACUGGGGACGAAGUAAAAGUGUCUGGGGGUUGACUUCCUGAGACGUGCAAUGGCCCUACAGGGAACCCCCAAGAAAAUUAGUUUAGAAAGGCUCUUCCAGGAAACACAUAUAAGAGCUGAUCACUUGGCAUUUUGAGCCCUCUUGGAGGUAAUAGAAUUCCAGAGAGAGAAACAGACAUCUAAGAGGGCAGAAACAAUUCAGUGGUGGAACACUGUAGAGUCCUGCUCACAGUCAGCACACAUCGAGCCACCACACACACAGAAAAACCCAAAUGUCUUUCAAGUUUAUGUGAUACAAGUAAAAUAUUUAAU